AUGGAGGACCUCAAUCUGCAGCCGCCGCUCUCUCCAACCUCGAUGCUAAACGCAUCGCUCCGUUCCAAGCGGGACUCAACCAGGGCAUCUCUUCACGUGCUCGCUUCGGGCUGCCCGGACCUGAUCGACUUCUGCUCUCCAAACGCCAUGUUGCGCCCGCUCAACACGCCCUCUCCGUCGAGGCUGCCUGGCUUUGAGGCGUCUCCCACGCCUCCCCUGCUCUGCUCUGGACCACCUCGACGCACUCCCUCGCCGCCACGCGUCAGACAAAGUGCCGCUGUGCAGAAGAUCCUUGAGGAGUUGCAGGAGCUCUUUGUGCCUGCCCAAGAGCCGCUGCUGCCUUCCCCUCCGCCCAUCAGACCGUCGGCUCGCGGCAAGACUCUAGCGGGGAUGGCCAUCUGCAACAAAGGAGGCGGCAUCUCACUCAGGCGCUCUAGUGCGCGACUAAGGGCAGAUAGGCAGGCUCCGGUUGCCAAGAGAGCUAAGGCCCUCGUCUGCCGUAGCCUGGGCAUUGUACAGAAUGGUGAGGAUAUAACCGUGCAAGCUAUGGACAACUUUGCCAAGAAAUUCAAAGAUCGUCUUCCUGAUGACGUGAUUGGAGCUAUGAGGGCCCUAUUCAAGCUGGAUGAUGACCAUAUUUGUGUGGCCGAAGCUGGGCUCAUAGCGCAUGGUGGCCCCAAUGCGCUCGAUCACGUUGAUGAGGCUACUGCCUGA
rnacentral:rRNA from 1 species